AUCUCUGCCCCUCAGAGUCCUGGGGAGGAUGGGUGGAAGAGGAGCAGCAUCACAAGAAGGCUUCCUGUAAACUAUGGAGGGUGAGGGGACAGGGUGAGGGGGCAGGGUGAGGGGACUUUGUGAGAUGGUGCCCGUGGAAGCCAGCAGAGGGUGUAGGAUCUCCUGGAGCCAUGUGUCUGGAGUUACAAGAAGUUGUGAACCUCUCAACAUGGGUUCUGGGAAUUGAGCCUAGGUCCUCUGGAAGGACAUCAAGUGCUCUUAACCACUGAGCCAUCUCUGCAGCCCAACCCCAGCCCCUGGAGGCUGAAGCAAAGCAAGUUCAACGACUGUGCGACCUGGCUCUUGUUUGGACCUAAGGAAAAGCGACUGUAAGCAGGGAGGCAUCUCUGGCAAGAGAUGAAUAAGCACGUUUGCGGCUGUGCGCAGGGAUCACAAGGGCUCCUGCAGUGGGAAGAGCCACCACUAGGGGCGCUCCAAGUCAUGUAUUUUCUACCUGUGGCUGCCCUCCAAAUCCAACGGAGAUGAAUGGCUUUUAGUUUACCUAACUGAUUUAAUAAACUUUAAAAAUAAAUGU
rnacentral:lncRNA from 1 species